GAUGAACGCUAGCUACAGGCUUAACACAUGCAAGUCGAGGGGUAACGAGAGGAAAGCUUGCUUUCCUUGUCGACGACCGGCGCACGGGUGAGUAACGCGUAUCCAACCUGCCCCCAACUAGGGAAUAACCUUGCGAAAGUAAGACUAAUACCCUAUAAUUUCCUCAGAUGUCAUCUGACGAGGAAUAAAGAUUUAUCGGUUGUGGAUGGGGAUGCGUCUAAUUAGCUUGUUGGCGGGGUAACGGCCCACCAAGGCAACGAUCAGUAGGGGUUCUGGGAGGAAGGUCCCCCACAUUGGAACUGAGACACGGUCCAAACUCCUACGGGAGGCAGCAGUGAGGAAUAUUGGUCAAUGGGCGGAAGCCUGAACCAGCCAAGUAGCGUGCAGGAUGACGGCCCUAUGGGUUGUAAACUGCUUUUAUACAGGAAUAAAGUUAGCCACGUGUGGUUAUUUGUAGGUACUGUAUGAAUAAGGACCGGCUAAUUCCGUGCCAGCAGCCGCCGUAA
rnacentral:rRNA from 1 species